rnacentral:lncRNA from 1 species
AAGGUGAAAAACCUAGUAAAUAUUUUUGUUAAUUUGGAAUCUAGAAAUUUUACGAAUAAAAUUAUCCCUAAAGUACAAAAAGAUGAUGGAGAAAUGAUUAAUAAUCAAAAAGAUAUUCUCAAAGAGGUUAAAUUUUUUUAUCAAGAGUUGUACUAAAAAAAAAAAUAUUGUUACAGAUAAGAUUAAGAAUUUUGAUACUGUUUUUGAUAAAUACAAUGUUAACAAAUUAACAAAUGAGGAGUCAGAUGAUCUAGAGGGUCCAAUCUGUCUACAUGAGGCAUCAAAUGUUUUAAAAGCAAUGAAAAAUGAUAAAAGUCCAGGAUCAUCAGGUUUUACAGCUGAAUUUUUCAAAGUUUUUUUGGGGAAAAAUUGGUCCAUUUGUAGUAAGAUCCAUAAAUUAUGGUUUUGAAAAAGGUCAACUCUCUGUUACACAGAGACAAGGUAUAAUUACAUGUAUACCUAAAGGAGACAAACCACGACAGUUUCUUAAAAACUGGAGACCAAUUACUCUCCUAAAUACUUCUUACAAAAUUGCAUCAGGGGUUAUUGCUAAUCGAUUUAAAAAAGUAUUGGGAAAUUUGAUUGAUCCUGAUCAAACUGGCUUUGUACUAGGUCGAUUUAUAGGAGAAAACACAAGAUUGUUAUAUGACUUGAUGCAAAUUGCAGAAGAAAAAAACCUACCAGGACUUCUCCUAUUUGUCGACUUCGAAAAAGCCUUCGACUCAUUAUCAUGGGAUUUUCUACAAGAAGUAUUAAAAUUUUUCAAUUUUGGACAAUCUAUUUGUAAUUGGGUGAGAAUUUUCUACUCUAAUAUUAAUUCAGCUGUAAACCAAGGGGGUAAUUUAUCAGAUUUUUUUAACAUUGAACGGGGUUGUAGACAAGGCGAUCCGCUUUCUCCUUAUUUGUUUAUAUUGUGUGCUGAAAUACUAGCUAUUAAGCUUCGCAACAAUAAGAAAAUAAAAGGGUUAAAAUCUGUUAGUAUUGAAAAUAAAUUGUCUCAAUUUGCUGAUGAUACUGCUAUUAUUUUAGAUGGAUCUGAAGAAUCUCUAAUGGAAAGCAUGAAAGACCUUAAUUAUUUUUGGGAAAUCUCAGGUUUAAAAAUUAACUACAGUAAAACCCAGGUUGUAUGGAUUGGCAGUAUGAAAUACAGUCAGAAUGAACUUUGUACUAGCUUAAACUUAUCAUGGGGUAAACAUAAUUUUUCGUACCUUGGAAUAGACUUUGAUGUAGAUUUAUCAAAGAUGAUACGAUUAAAUUAUGAUAAAAAAAUAUUGGAGAUUGAAUCUCUUUUAAAGCAAUGGAGCAAGAGAAACUUAACUCCAAUUGGGCGUAUUACAGUGGUUAAAACAUUGGCAUUACCAAAGCUAAUCCAUCUGUUUUCAUCAUUGCCAAAUCCAGACUCUAGAUUUAUUAAAAAACUUGAUAACUUGUUUUAUAGUUUUGUUUGGCAAAAACCAGUUGGUAAAGUUAAGAGAGAAACAUUAGUUAAAGAUUAUUUUGAAGGGGGUCUAAAAAUGAUUUGUUUGAAACCUUUCAUAAAAUCACAAAAAUGUACAUGGGUUAGAAG